AGUCUCAAACUGAAACAUUCAUGUGUUUGUUUAUUUGUUUGGUUUUUUCCUGGGUUUGUUUGAUAUGUUCGAGUUUUUUGUUUUAUUUUUGCAAAUGUUUAGACUAUGUUUUCUUGCUGGUUUGAUGGUUGUUGGGGUUAAGUUUAUGGGUUUUGGGUGUUUAUCGUGUGACGCCAUUGUUAUUCUUGUUAUUAUAGUUAGUUAUUGACGUGUCAGCUUUAUAUGUUUUGAUUCGAUAUGCAUGAUGUAUGAGAACAUUUUACUUGAUAUGCAUAGCGUGUGACAGCAUUUUACUUGAUAUGCAUGGCGUGUGACAACGUUUCACUUGAUAUGCAUGGCGUGUCACAACGUUUUACUUGUUAUGCAUAGUGUGUCAAAACGUUUUACUUGUUAUGCAUGGCGUGUCACAACAUUUAACUUGUUAUACAUGGCGUGUCACAACAUUUUGCUUGCUAUGCAUGGCGUGUCAUAACAUUUAUUCCUUAUUUAUGUCUUCAGUAUACCUUGUUGCAGAUGAUGGCUUAACUCACUGGUGCAUGUGUGCCAUGUUUUGCAGAUCCAGCGCAGACAGUAUGAGGAUCUUGACAGUUUGCUGAUCGUGCCGAGGGAGAAGUGGGCAUUCAACAUUGGAAUUAACACCCACUGUAAGUGGUCGCAGCUGCAUUACAUCACAAAGACUCUCCAACAGAAGGGGGAGUACGAUACAGUUAAACGUACCUGCUUUGGAAUGCUCAUGGACGUCUAUCCACAAGGGUACUUUUGCGUCGAUCUCUUGCAUAUAAUCAUGAUUCGCCGGAUCAGUGAGAGCCAGUCAAUGGACCAUAAGCUAUGGUUUGUCACUGGCAAGAGCAAGGAGUGGCUAUCAAAGUAGGAGUUCUGCCUCAUCACCGGGCUGAAGUUUGGUCCAAUGCUCGAUUUGUUCAGACGAUCGUACGAGGUUGUUGCGAAGGGAAUUCAUGACAGAUACUGAAACGGGCAAGACAACGUGAAGCUGCAGGCUUUGCUUGAUACGUUUCGCGGGGGCAACUUCCAGCGACCAGGAGACGCAACCAAGAUGGCACUCGUUUUGAUCACGAAUAACAUUUUAUUUGGUCAAGACUACCGUAGACUAGUGACGCCUUGGUUGCUGUCAUUGGUGGAGGGCAUCGACACUUGGAAUGUCUUCCCAUGGGGGCACUAUGCUUGGAAGCUGACCUUGGACUACCUUUUGAAGGGGUUAGAAGUGCUUGACUCAAGCGUGACAAAAGAAACUCGAUUACGCUACAACAUUUACGGAUUCGUAUUGGUGAUACAGGUACUAUCACGUAACAUUUUUCAGUUUUCUUUGAAAAAAAAAGUUAUGGGUGCACUCGUUUAUGAUAUACAGUCUGAUAAUGGUUACAUUUGACAUGCAGUUCUGGGCAAUGGAGGCAAUUUCAAUCCUAAAAAAAAUAAUUACCCCCUAUGGUCUGAAGAACAACGCCUACCCACGAAUGUGCAAAUGGGAUUGCAAUCAGAAGCCAAAAGACUUCUACAAGGCAAUUCAGAAGUUAGAGUAAUCUGACGAUGUGAGUGAACAGCUGCUAAUUUUUUAGUUAUAUUUGUAUAAUAAUUUUCUCUAUUCGAUAAUGACAACAUUUUAUUUGUUUAUUUGCAAUUGUGGGCACUAGAGACGUUGGAACCCACUGCGAAUGAGGCCCUCCGGGAGUAUUUUAUGGACCUUGAUGUCCCGUUAUUGGAGGGCCACGAGUACGUGCCAAUAGGGCACAUGGAAGAUAGGUCUGAUUGGGGCUUAGGUGCGAGGCAAAAAAGAGAAGCUUGAAGGAGAAAAGAGCCUCUGGUGGCACGAAGCGGAUGCGCAUCAUCGCUGCUUUAGUUGAUGAGCUAUCGGGCCCUAAGUUGAUGGACGAAGGGGAAAACCAUGGUCAAGGCAGUAAACAGCCGGUAAGGACAAUUGUAAUGAUUUUGUGUUCUCCAAUUCCAUAUGUGAUUAUCGAAUAACAUUUCUGUGUUUGCAGUUGGACCAUAUGUCAGCAGCUCCAGAAGCACCCACCGAUCCUCCUCAGACGCAUAGUGAAAACGACCCGUUAGUAAGAUCGAUUCUAACGGUUUGUGUUUUACAUUUCCACAUUUGUUUAUCGAGUAACACAGUAAUUUCUAUAAUUGCAGUUUACGAAAGCGACGACAAGUCCUCAAGCACCAAUCGAUUCGGCUUAACCGCAGACAACUAACGAGCCGACGGUAAGGAUAUUAAAGUUAUAACGGUUAAUGUUCAACAAUUCUAUACAUGAUUAUUGAAUAACACAGUUAUAUAUGUAAUUGCAGUUUGUGGAAGCAACGACUGGUCCUCAAGCACCGAGCGAUCCGGCUCCACCGCAGACUGCUAACGAGCCGUCGGUUAGGAUAUUAAAGUUGUAACGGUUAAUAUUUAACAAUUCCAUAUAUAAUUAUUGAAUAACACAGUUAUAUAUGUUAUUGCAGUUGACCUAGUCGAGAAUAGUCAAUGAUGGAGCAGUCACUACCCGCCAGUUUCGAUGGAUCAUGCGCAAGCAUGAAAAAGAGAUGUCGGAGCUGAAGGCGUUAAUUCAGUCAAUGAGUCUAGCAAUGCAGACGCUUGAGGACCGUAUCGUUGCUCGGAUUCUUGACGGCCUUAAAUCACAAGUACGUUGUUUUAUCUUUACUUGUAUUUUGAUGGUUUACAUUUAGCAACUGUUUAGAUUGUGUUUUCUUACUGGUUUGAUGGUUUUUUAGGUUAAGUGGUAGUGGUUUAACUAGUUUUUGGUCAUUAGCGGGUUAGGACAUUUGUAUUAAAGUUAGUUAUUGCUGUGUCAGCCUUAGCGUGUGACAACAUUUGAUUUGAUAUGCAUGGCAUGUCAAAACAUUUAACUUGUUAUUCAUGGCAUGUUAGAACGUUUGAUUUGAUAUGCAUGGCGUGUCAGAACAUUUUGGUUGUUAUCUUUGGCUUGUCACAACAAUUUGCUUGUUAUGGAUGGCAUGUCACAACGUUUAACUUGUUAUGCAUGGCGUGUCACAACAAUUUACUUGUUAUGGAUGGCGUGUCACAUCAUUUUGCUUGUUAUGCAUGGCGUGUGACAGCAUUUUACUUGAUAUGCAUGGUGUGUCACAACAUUUUACUUGAUAUGCGUAGCGUGUCACAACAUUUUACUCUUUAUGGUUUGUGGUAUUUUAUGAGCUAAUUAACGGUUUUUCCCAUUUUGUAGGGCGGUCCAUCUCACGGUGCUGGUCUGGAGCAUGAUGAUGCUGAUGAUGGACAACAUCAUGAACCUAGUGUUGACAUUGACGAUGACGUUCUUAAUGCUAACGGAGAGCACAUAACUCAUGCCGAUGACGUCGUCGAUGAAGCUGUGGCAGUGGAUGUCACCCUUCAAUUAUAUGAUGCUAAAGGAGAGCAUGUUCUUGUGCUCGAGUCCAUUAUCGAUCCAUCUGCUGGAAGGGAUGAGGAGCCUGACUCAAUCAUGGCUGAAUGAGAGCAUCUUCCUCCGGUCGAUGCAUUCAUCGACGUAGCAGCAGGAGCUAUCAUUCUUUAUCGUGGGAGCACUCUUGAUGCAAUUGAGAUACGGUCGUCGUCACCAAAGUCAUUUGCUAUCCAUCAUGGUGCAGCAAAAAUUUCAGACCCAACUGAGCGAGCACAGCUGAAAAUGGCUAGCAAAUACAUGGCAAGCCUGUUCAUCGACCCCUUAGUGACUCGUCGAGAUGUGAGGGAUAAAAUCGUAGAAGACUACGAAGCUUUCAAGAAAGACGAGUCCAUGAGGUAAGAAACAUAAAUAACAUUGCAAAUAUUAUUUUUUAAUGAAACAUUAAUCCACCACGACUUAUGAAAUUCAUUAUGUUACAUAUGCAGGCAUAACGUCGGCAUUUUAAGGGAUAAAGGGGCUGACUUUUUCAUAACCUUAGAGAAUCCCAAUGAGGAAAUGACAAGUGAACAUAUCGACGCAUGCCUCAGCCUACUCUGCAAGCGAAUGAUAGGGCCGAAGUCGAAGCUGUACACUACCCAUGCAUGCGUGGUUGACACGAUAUUCUUAGUAAGUUUAUUUGAAAAUUGUUCAAUUCUACAAAUACUAAGUUUUUGAUUGCAUGAAGUGUAAGCUAAUAUUUACAUGUUUCACAAGACACCAUUCGUAUAUUACACAUGGAAUUUCCAACAGAAGAUGCCCGGGCCACAAUGCAAAUUCCAGAUGAGUUGCGGAGAUAUGUGGAGGGUGAAAGGUCGACAUACUCCAAAAAAUGGGAAGAUGUGGAUUUCAUCCUCGCGCCUUGCAACGUUGGUGGGCAUUAGGUGGUUGCGAAGAUCAACUUGGUGAAGUGGACGAUCAAGGUGGUGGACUCCGCAAGAACUUUGGAUGCUGAGGAUAACGGAGUUCAUGUAGGUCAGAUGACACCCUUGACGACAAUGAUGCCAUUCAUCUACCAACAAGCCGGUUAUUUCAAUAACAUACGUCGAAAGAGACGGGAUUUAAAGCCGAUGCCAUUGGAUAUUCAUUUGCCAAAAGCUAAAGUGUAUUGGCAGAAUGAUAGUGUCAGCUGCGGUAUGUUCAUGAUAGGGUACAUGGACCAUAUUUUGCAAUAAGAAAAGAUCGGAGUUUGGCAGAAUAUGAUUGCAAAAAUGCAUCGACAAUAUGCUCUAGAAAUUUUUUUCAACAGUUGUGAGAGCAAACCUUGAACAUAUCGGCCCUUGUCUACACAAUUUUUUUGUAUACAAAAUUUUUUUUAUACAAUUAAUUUUAUACACAUUUUUUGUAUACACAAUUUAUUUUAUACAAUUCAUUGUAAACAGAAUUAAUUCUUUUUGUAUACACAAUAUACUUUAUACAAUUAUUUUAUACACAAUUAAUUUUUUUGACUAUACAUAAUUAAUUUGAUACUAUCGAAUUUUUUUCCUUUUCUAUACACAAUAUAUUUAAUUUGAUACACAGUCGCAAGAAGUCAGCGUGUGAUGCCAUAAAUAUGCUACCACUCAGCAUGUCCCCACAUACAUUUGCUUGCACUCAGCGUGUCACCCUCAUAAAUUUGCAAAAAGUCAGCUUGUGAUGCCGUAAAUCAACUAACACUCAGCGUGUUAGUAGUGUCAGUCGAUAAAUCUGCUUCCACUCAGCGUGUCAGCCCAUAAAUCUGCUUCCACUCAGCAUGUUAGCCCAUAAAUCUGCUUUCACUUAGUGUGUCAGAACAAUUAGGUCGUGUCGUGUCACUCCAUUAAUCUCCAGAUACUCAGCGUGUGACGUCGUAAAUCCACUAACACUCAACGUGUCAGCCAAUAAAUUUACAUUCACUCAGCAUGUCACACCAUAAAUCUUCAGAUACUCAGCGUGUGACGCCAUUAAUCUGCUUCCAUUUGGCGUGUCAUAAGAAUUGGGCCGUCGCGUGUGACCCCACGAUACUGUACCAAGUCUGCCGUGUCACACCAUAAAUCUACUUGCACUCAGUGGGUCACGACUGUGAAACAUCAGGGUUAAGAAUAUAUGACACGCCACGGUUACAAUAUGUGACAAGACUGUGACACGCCAUUGCUUGAACAGCUGACACGCCAUGGUAACCGUUGCGUGUCACAACGUUUAACUUCUUAUGCAUGGCGUGUCAGAACAAUUUACUUGUUAUGCAUGGCGGGUCAGAACAAUUUAAUUGUUAUGCAUGGCGUGUCAGAACAAUAUACUUGUUAUGCAUGGCGUGUCAUAACGUUUAACUUCUUAUGCAUGGCGUGUCAUAACAUUUUGCUUGUUAUGCAUAGCGUGUCACAAUAUUUUACUUGAUAUGCACGACGUGUCACAACAUUUAACUUGUUUUGCAUGACGUGUCUCACAUUUAUUCCUUAUUUAUUUCUUCUGUAUACCUUGUGCACAUUAUGGCUUAACUCAUUGGUGCAUUUGUACCAUGUUUUGCAGAUCCAAUGCAUACAGUAUGAGGAUCUUGACAUUUUGCCUCACCAAGAGAUGAAGGAGUUCAUGCAGUGAAGCGUACAUUUUUGGGAUGCUCCUUGAGGUCAAUCCACAAGCUUGGUCUAUCAAACUUUGACCUUGUUUGCACGGUUGAGUUGAAUGUAGCCCGGUAUAGUUUUCCUAGUACCCCAAGGGAAGCAUACAUGGGUUUGUCAACCUUCUGCAUGAAGUUUGGAAACUCCCUUGGUUUCAAGGAUCGAGCCAUCUCAGUUGGUGCUGCUGUCUUUGCAAAAUCAACAGCCAUAGAGUGAAGAGUUGCCAAUUCUAGGCUGGAUCGAGACCUCGAAUCAUGGACCUAGAAUUGGCAACUCUUCACUCUAUGGCUAUUGAUUUUGCAAAGACAGCAGCACCAACUAAGAUGGCUCGAUCCUUGAAACCAAGGGAGUUUCCAAACUUCAUGUAGAAGAUUGACAAACCCAAGUAUGCUUCCUUUGGGAUACUAGGAAAACUGUAUUAGGCUACAAUCAACUCAACCGUGCAAGCAAGGUCAAAGUUUGAUAGACAAAGCUUGUGGAUAGACAUAUAGGAGCAUCACGAAGCACGUAGGCUUCACUGCAUUAUACUCUCCUAUCUCUUUGAGAGUCUUUGUGAUGUAAUGCAGCUGCCACCACUUACAGUGAGUUUUAAUAUUGAGUAUUGAUAAGCAUAUGAGAGCCAGAAACCCCAAAUUAAAAUAUCAGGUUAGUUUGCCUAAGAUGCCAAGUCUGCAUGCACUCAGUGUGUCACCACAAGACUUGCAGUAAAAACAUAAACGGUUAAAUCAAAUGAAAUAGAAGGGAAUUAAAUCAAAUCAUUAAUUAUUUGAUACAAGUGGUAAUAAAAUGUGACAAAUGGGGUAACAGUAUAGGGACUUAAUCUCUUAAUAUUGGCAGCCAUUCCAUGCUUGUUGUUCCUUCAUAAGAUUUGUGUAGCCACUUGUACUUAAUGUUGUCAUUAUAGUUGAUUUCGUUUUGCUUCACGAAUUUGUCUGCUCGGUCAUUCUAUGAGCCACUUUUAGUUACAGACUUUGUUACCAAACAUUUCAGGCAGAUAAACUUGUCAAGGCUCCUGUCUGAUGGAGAAUGUAAUCGGAACAUUCUUACAAACAAUGUAAGAAUGUACUUUAACACAAUCUUGAUUAGACAGAGGCCUUGAUAGGCUUAUCUGCUUGAAAUGUUUGGCAACAAAGUCCAUAACUAAAAGUGGCUCAUAGAAUGACCGAGCAGACAAAUUCGUAAAGCAAAACGAAAUCAACUAUAAUUUUCAGACACAUUUAGUUAGGCGAACAAGCUGUCUUCAUCCACAACACACACUACAUUUUCAGACAUUGUCCUUUGUAUUUGACAGUUGUUACGUGUGUGACUGGUUUGUUUGCAACUUGAACAUGCUUUGGGUCGACGCAGUCGUGGAGACGCCGAUUGACUUGGAGAUGGUGACGAAUUUGUGGAUAGAACUACAAAUGGGGAUGGGCAGUUCUGUCUAUUAUGCCCGUUCCUCUUGCAUUGCAAAAAUCUCCGUGCUCAACUGCCUUCGCCUUCACCAGCUAAUGGAAUCCUUCUCCUCCUAAGUCUUCCCGCUUGGCCUCGCCAAGGUGGGGGUAAGACGAUAAUUUCUUUCACAUGAGGGGGGAUGUCCCACUCACUAGGAUGCAUUACCGGCCUAAUGGAUCCUGAAUAACCAUCCACCAAAACGGUUGUCUUGUAAUAGUCAGCACAUAAUUCAAUGGCUUCACAAUUGCAUUUACUGAAAAACACAAUAAACUCAAUCUUCAAGCACAAUGUAAAUGCUAUGUCAAUUACGGUUCAAAUAAGAAAUAAAUAUAUUCUGACCUUAUUGCUGCAAUGGUAUGGCUGCAUGGCAGUAAAUCUGUUUAGAACUCAUAACAUGAACACGUCUUUCUGGACAGGUUUGCAAGUCCGUCCAUCUUCCUGUCUUUAACUUCGAACUCCGCUCGAUUGAUAGGCUUAACUAGAAAGCGAUGUGCAUCAUUGAACCUUUUGCUCAACUGCCUAGCAACCCAAGGGUUGAGGGGGGGUCACCUUGACGGCCUCCUCGUACCGAUCAUGGAACCAACGCUGGAACAUGUCUUUGAUGAACUCAAUCAAAACAGUGAUCGACAUUUGUUUUGCAUGCUUCAAGCAUGAGUUAACACAUUCCACAAUGUUGGAUGUCAUCAUUUGGUAUCGCUUUGCCGGUGAACAUGCACGUGCCCAUUUCUCAAGCCCUAUUCUCAUAAGGUUCGCAUGGGCUCCCAAGUGAAUAUGUUGUAUCUGGUUCAUAUGUCUGUUGAAAUCGACCACCUUAUAGCAAUCUCGAGCAAGGGUGAAAAGCAUACAAAUAUCGUCGCGCUUGAACUUGUUUUUAAUUUUUUUUUUUCAAGUGGUAAUCGCAUAAACCAUGGUGUGCUUCUGGGUAUGCAUUUUGGAUUGCUUUCUUAAUGCCUAGAUGCUGAUAAAAAAUGAACAUAGUCUUUUCAGGACAACCAACCGCAUCACGCAGCUUGCUAAGAAACCACAUCCACGAGUCUUCGUCCUCAACAUGGCCGAUGCCAAACACAACUGGAUAUACGCACUCGUUCGCAUAUUUGCAUACAGCGACAAACAGAACACCCUUGAACCUGUUUUUGAGAUGUGUCACAUCAAUUGCAACCGUAGGACAUUUUACAUCCAUAAACCCCCGAAUACAAGCCUCGUAUGACCAUAAACAAUAUUUGAAUCUCUCUUCCUCAUCAAUAGUCACUGUAGUCACUGUGCCAGGAUUUUCUUAUUCCAACAUAUAAAAAUACGAUGGUAGUAGCUGAAAUGACUCCUCUAGUGGAUCAAAAACAAGCCUCUCCGCAUACUCCUUCGCUUGCCAAGCCUUACCAUACAAGCAUUCCAAUCCCCAUUGAACUCUCAUCUCACAAAUUAUGUCCUUAGGUCUCAAUGCUACUCCAUUAGCCCGAAGCUUGUGUGACAUAAGUUCACCAAUCAUCUUCGCACUCGUAGUUGCAAAUCGCUUUUGCAAACCAUCAACAGUACAGGUGUGUACUUUAUGGAAUGUCAGAACUUGCCAAUAUUAUCCUCUAUCAGGUAACUUCGUUGCACGAAUACUAAACUUGCAUGCCUUGUCCUUGCAACCAACCUCGUAACGAGCUUUACAUGACCUUUUUACUCUUAUCGCAAACUUCUAUUUUAUAACCAACAUGUUCAAAGCUCGUUUCAACUCAGCUUUCGGGAAAACAUUUUUCCUUUGUAUAAGCGAUCUUCUGCACAUGUCGACUCCUCAGUGGUAAUUGUUUAGAAGGAGAAUCUUUCUACACCUGUAAUUACCCACAUACGAGAUAUCCCUACAUUUUCGCUUUCCUGAUCACUGUCAUCGAACAAUGUAUUAAGGGAACGAAUCCCGUUCUCACCAGUGAUGGGGUUAUUGUAUAUUGGGCCAUCACACUAAACAUUUCCUACAUCAACAUCUCCAACAGGUUCCGUUUCGCCUUCAACAUUAUUACAAAUUGGAAUGUCACUAUCAUAAAAGUAGUCAUCGUCUGAAUUGUCAUCUUGCCAUUGUUCAAGCCCAUCAUCUGAAGUGUCAUCAAAUCUAUCUUCAUUGGCAGCGAACAAAUCCUCAUUUCCCUCAUCAAAUGCAGUAUUAUCCUCCAGCGUUGCAGUGUCACCCUCCAACCUCACAUUGUUGUCCUCAACUGUCGUAUUCUCAUUUGACAAUGGCAUUACACACUGUACAGUUUCACCCGAUCGUUGCAUUUGUUUAAGAGAAGCAAGAAAUUGGUUUGAUGCACAUCCUAAUCGGAAUUGUGCAGCCAACUGUUCUGUGAAUGUCGUUGGUCUACCGGGCUGCACAAACUCUUAUGCAUACCUCAAUUGCCAUUGUUGUGGGUUACGAACCAAAUGCUGUGGUAUAUGUGAAGCAUUGUAAAUCUCAUUUUGAUUGAGCUGAUUACCAUGUUGUCCAACUUCUUCAUGUGACAUAAUGUUUGUUUGGCGUCCCUUAAUGCUAACAUACACAGUCGGAACAUUCCUCUGUUCUAGCAAAAUUAAUGUAACAUCCUCAUCGUCCUUGAUAAUUGGCCGUAAUAGCUCUCCGGGUGUACUGGUCAAUGCAUGUAACUCAAUCUCAUCAAUUUUUGAGUUUACCCCAACAACAUUUUCAACCAGCUUCAUCAAGCCCACAAACGAUAAAUCACUCCUAACCCAUCGCAUUCGUGACUCACCACCCUUGUAAAUGUUGUCCACCUACUGACCACCGUGUCUUAUCAUAAGUCGCACAAUUGGAACCCCACUGAAAUUUUGAAAAAAAAAAUUAUUGUUAAUCAUUUUACACAAUACAUGCCGUGAUAAAAAAUUUAUCAGUUGUGUUGUUACACGCCAUGCAUAUAUAGUAAAAUGUUGUAACACACCAUGCAUAUCAAGUCAAAUGUCGUGACACGCCAUGCAUCAGUAUCGUGACAUGCCAUGCAUCACUGUUGUGACACGCCAUGCAUCACUCUUGUGACACGCCAAUCAUUGUAAUUACUGACUCAUUACACCAACAGCCGUGACACGCUAAAAACCCAAAAAACUAGUUAACCCACGAUAUGUCAGGAACAGUUGUGACACGCUAAAAACCCAAAAAACUAGUUAACCCACGAUACGCCAGGAACAACCGUGACACGUCAAAAACCCAUAAAUUCAGUUAACCCACGACACGCCAAGAACAGCCGUGACACGCUAACAACCCAAAAGACUAGUUAACCCACAACACGCCAGGAACAACCUUGACAUACUAAAAUAACUCUAACACAUGUUAUAGAUGCAUGAUGUGUAACAACUCUGGGCAAUAUUUCCAAACCAUCUUUUAAUUUACACCAAAUGUUUCAGAAAUUUAAGUCUGUUGCAGAAAUAAACCCAAUAACAGGUACCUUGAUGUCAUCUCUGCUAUAGGGUCUGUUAAUCUAUGACAAUGUGGCCAAAUGCCGAGAGAUAGACCAUAGCCCGAUGACGAUGGUGCUCAAUAGAGACUUGCCAAAGUUGAGACAACUCAGAGAGUUGUGAGAGAAAGAUGACCGAGCCUAAACAGUUGCACGCAUUUAUUUAUUUUUUUCUAUUUUCUCUCCGGCGGGAGGCAGAUAGCUCAAACAGUUGAGCAUUUAUUUGAAACGAUAUUUUUAAGGGCAUUUUGGUAUACUCAUGCUUAUUUUUGGCUAGAAACAAAUAACUUUAUAUGAGUGGUUAUUUCUGAAAUCACCUUAUCACGAUGUCCUUUUCUCAUAAUAUCCUCUAAUUAUUAUGUAGUUUGAUUUAUGGGAUGAAAUAAAAUAAUAAUUGUUAUCAUAAAUUAUUAUAAUGUUUGGUUGGCAAUAAUAGUUUCGAGAAUAGCUAAGGAAUAAGUAAUAAAUGAUAAGAAUACUCUUCAUUAUAAUAUUUAAUUUUUAAAUUAAAAUAUUUAUUAUUUUAAUAAUUUAUUAAAAAUAUUAAUAAAUUAUUAUUUGAAUUUUAAUAUGAUUAUUUGUUUUAAUUUAUAAAAUAUUAAUAAUUUGUAAUUAAAACAUUCACAUUAUUAUUUUAUUUUUUUAUCUUUAACAUAUUAAUAUAUUACAAAUUUAUAAUUAAAAUUUUAAUUUAAUUUUUAAAUUUAAAAUAAUAACUUUUUAUAAUUUAAAUUAAAACUUAAACCUUUUUAUUUAAAUUCUUUUUAAUUAUUUCUUUUUUACUUUUUUUCUUUCUUUUCGUUGACCGGCCACUAAAGAUGUGGCUACUCGGCAUAAGAGAGCAUCGAUAUGUGCUCCCUAUGGCACGAUCAAUCUAGGGAUCGCUAAAUCAGCACUCCUCGUGAUCGAAUCUAGUCGUGAGUGCUAGAUUCAGUUGCAAAAUCUAGCUGAGAAGCGCCAAAUCCUAUGUUUCCCACGAUUGGUUUGGCUGAUGAGCACUUGAUGGGCAUUUCCCGUGACCUACACUGGUGUUGCCAUCGUCGUCGUCACUAGCCUUUGGUGGUAGAGGGAAUGUAGAGAGAGAAGGAGAGAGGAAGAAGAUGGGUAGAGUAAAAAAACCUUGAGAAAUGAAAAUAUUUUAUAUUAUAUAUGAGUAAUUUUUAAAAUUUUAAUAAGGUAUUUUCUUCCAAUUGAAUUUUUUUUUUUAUUCCCACCAGUCCAGAAUAGUUAUUAUUGAGGGAAGGUUCGGUAAUGGUUAUUCCAAAUCCUCUUGAAAUGACUAUUUCAAAGAAUAGGCAUUUCAUUGAACCAAAUAAAUAUUGAAGUUAGUAAUAGAAAUAAAGAUGGAAUGACUAUUCCAUUCCCCUAACUAAGUUUUCAAUUGUGAAGCAACACUAUAAUCAGCUAUAGGAAGGGGAUGGAUUGAUAAAAAAGAAAAGUAUUUUUUUAAGAGUUUUUUUUAGUGUUUGGUAUGAGAGAAGUGAGAGCAUAUUUCUUGUAAUGUUUCCAAUUAAAUGACAUUGCAGUGUUUGUUUUGUAACAAACCACUACAAUGUAAGAUUACAAUGUAAUCACAUUACAACAAUAUGAUUGCAGUCCAAAAUCAAUACAAUUAGAUUGCAUUGCUUUCUGUAAUAUUUUUACCUUUCAACUUUGCUACUUUAUUAAAAACAUUUUGCAAUGUUAUAAUUUAUUUUUAAUAUAUAGAUUUCAUGGGAUUUCUUUUUAUUAUUCUUAGUACUCAUGGUGACUGUCAAUAAAAUUUAUAUUUUUUUUAAAGGAAAAGAAGUUAAAAUAAAAUAUAUAAUAUAAAAAAUUAUAUUAAGAAAUGAAAAUAAAAUAUAUAAAAUUAUAAUAAGAAAUAAAAAUAAAAUAUAGAAUAUAGAAUAUUAAAAAUAUAUUUAAGAGAUGAUAUUAUAUAAAAAUUAAUAAUAAAAAAUAUAAGUAUAUUAAACUUGCAUUUUAGUUAAUAAGAGUAAUUCUAGAAAUUGACAUUAUAGUUUAAGCAAAAUACUUUGAAAACAAAUGUUACAAUAUUAUCUUCCCUGUAUUUUAAUCAUUACUUUGCUUAAGUACAAAACAUUGCAAUAUUAUCUUCUCUAUAAUCAUAUUACUUGUAAUCAUAUUAUCCGUAAUUAUAUUAAAUCGUAAAAUAUCAAACGCCAUCUAAAUCUCUUGUGACUUCUUUCUCAAUAUCAGUGGCAUCGUCAAACAAGCUUGGAUUGUCCAUCGUUAUAGUUUUGAAGGUUUCUUUAUAUCAUCUUUUGGAAAAAGAGUUUUGGCAAAUUAUUGACUAAGGCUGGAGAUUGUAUUACAAAUUUAAAAGAAGUGAAAGGAACAAUUUCACUUAGAGAAUGAUUAUUAUUUCUCUUUAACAUAAAAAUUAAUAUAAAUUUGCACAGAUAAAUCAACAUGUUUGCGGCACAUGAUGUGACAUAAAAUUAGCAAUUGUAUCAUUAACUAAUGAAAGUUAGUCGAUAAUUAGUGAGAGGGGUUUAUUUGGUCUAAAAUAAAAGUUUAGGGGUUUAUUUGAAUAUAAUAAAAAGAUAGAGACUUAAUUAAAUUUUUAAUAUAAUUCAAGAAUUUAUUUAAGUAUUUAACGUUUACUUAAUUAAAAAAAAAUAAUUUACAAGUUAUUAUAACAAAAGCUUCCGGCCCAAGCAGUCAAAGGUCCAUUAAGCUCCUUUGCCAGCUUACAGGGCAGGCUUCCCAUCGAAGAACCAUUCUGCAAAGUGCUUAUGUACUCCACCUCAAUCCCAAAGGGGACCAAAGGACAAUAUCAAAAUAUAUAUCUCUGUUUCAGUCGAGCACUUCAAGUUUAACUCCCCGCGAACGCAAUUUGAACUAAUCAUUCUACUCAGGAACUUUUUCGAUCACACCGUUCCUUUUUCGGGUUUACCAGAUUUAUGGAGGUGAGUCUUCAAUUCCUAUCCAUAAUUAAAUUAAAUUUCCGGGUUUUUGGAGAGAAAAUAAUUUUUUGACUUACUAUUUUCUUAUUUUGGCUGUUAUGUGUUUAGCAACGUUGGAACUGUUUUGGACUGUGAUCGAAGUAAUGAUGGAUGUUUUCAAUUGGGACGGCACCGUGUCUGCAAAGGAUUUCAGAAUUGGUGCUCUCUCAUUUGCUCAGAAAUGGGAAAGUCUUAAUUCUGCUUUUCCUCCAUGGUCUUGGGUUCCUUGUCCUAAGCACCCUUGGCUUGCUUCUCCUGAGGUUACUCUUCUCAAUCUUUUUUAAGCAAUUAUUGUCUUAAAAUAACUUAAUGCCUUGUAUUUGGAUUCAACUUAUUUUUAGCUUUUCCAGGAGGAGGGAUACUUGUCACUGGAAAAUAUAUGCAUUUCCAGGCCAUAUGAGGUCCGGUUUUAGAUUUAAUGCAUUAUAUUUGAAUAUUUAAAACAAUGCUUAUGUUUUCUUCUUCUUUUUUUUUCUUUUUUCUGUUGGGUGCAGGUAGAUAUUGAUCAAAAUAGUCAAACUGACCCUGGGGAAGAAGAGACCAGUUGCUCUGAGAAAGAAGAUGAUAUUGACGAUGCCACAUUGGUAUAUACAUUUUGGACUAUUUUUUGAGUUAUUUAGCCUACACUGAGUGUAAAAAAUGUGCGACUUGGGAGCAAACAUGGAUUUACAAAUGAAAGUUGUGUUUUAUUGUUCCACUGCCUGUUAGUUUUUUGUCUGACUUUAAUCAUGUUCAUGUUCUUUUGCUAGGUCCAAAGCAAUCAUCAUGAAUUGCAUUACUGUGACUUCCAUAUAGUAUACAGUUAUACAUUUAGGGUUCCGGUGCUAUAUUUACGUGCUUACUGCAGUGGUAAGUUCACCCAGCCACUUCCUCCCUCAUGGAAGCAAUUAUAUUAGGAAAUUUUGUGUCAGCUUGUGGUAUAACAUAUAUGGUGACAUAAUUUAGCUCAUCUAUACAUUUCACAGUUUGAACUUUUAGAUCAGAUAUUAGGCUGAUGUGGCUGGAAGUCCAAACAAAUAAUGGUUAGUAUAAUUGAUGGUAGCAUUGCAGCAUGCUUUGUUAACUGAUAGCAGGAAAAGGGGCAAUCUUUUUUUAGUGAGCGAAAUCUUUUGAAGUGUGGUGUUGCUUGUAUUGCAGCUGGAAUUAAUUUCACGUUCUUCGUUAAGGAGCUCUUUCAUUUCACAAGAAUUUUGGUGGUUAACUAAUUAUAAGUCUUGUAAAUCUUGGAAUUCUAGAAUACUGAUUCAUAGAUGACGCUCUGUCUUAAUACUUUAGCAUUGUCCACGAUCUCUUUGUUUUUCUAUUGUCUUACAAAGAGUCUUAUCAAAGAUGAUAGGUGGUUCAAUUAUGGAGACUGUGUUUUAAGGAAAUUAACCUAGGGCAAGUUUAGCAUGGCUAGAUGUGAUUUGGCAACUUCAGACUCUUAGAACCAACCUAGAGUUGGUGCUGAUAAGCUGGGUUACCGGUAGGAUUAUAUGCAGUUUGAUAAACCUGGCAAGAAAACAACCUAAGUUCAAGUAAACUUAACAGUACCAAAUUUUAUCACAGCAGGACAGACCCUGUGCUAAGGAAUCCCUUCAUAUAGCACAACCAUGCAUUACUGGAGAACCAAGGCUGUUAGUGGCAAAUGAAAGAUGUUUUAUCAAGUGUUUCUGUCGGGUUGUUUGGGAAGCUGUCUGGUUGGUGUUUUAUGUAUGUUAGUAUGUGGUGUAUGUUGAUGGCACACCAAUGGAAUAGGUUAUCAUGCUCUUAUGUGUGCAGCCAUACGUGUGGGUGGAUGUCUAUAGAUGAAGUUCAGUUUUAAAUUGUUCAGUGUAUUAAUUAUUUGAAGAGAAUAACUAAUGGUUUGUAUGCCGUGUAGAUGGACGACCUUUGCUGUUGGAUGAAAUUGAGAAGGAGCUUCCUGCCUGCUCUUCAAAGGAAUCGCCAGAGACAAAAUGGGCAUUCAUAACUCAAGAGGUAUGUUUUCCCUACCUUCGUUUAUCUCUUUACCUUGGUUGUCUCUUCCUUAUCAUGCUAAUGAAUUUUAAAUUGAUAAGAAUUAUUCUAAAUUCCUGUUAUAUUCUUUCUCAUUCUAUCUUACUCAAAAUACUGGGUUAUGUUCAAGAUGAUUAUCAUGCAUUUUACUUUAGAACGACCAAAGGAUAAAUAUUGUUAAGUAGAGAUCGUGGCAACCUUAUGAGGCUGAAUUCUACAUAGAACAAAAUUUUGCUUAAAAUCAGCUGUUUUUGUACAAGGGUAUCGUGCAGCAUCUUCACGUAGGUUAAUAUGAAGGUGAUUGUUGUGUGUAUUUUCAACUGUAGGAACAUCCAUACUUGAAAAGGCCAUGGUACAAAUUGCAUCCAUGUGGGACCAGUGAGUUUAUGAAGUUGCUUUUCCUUGGUGGUGAUACUGGUCAGCCUAAAUUGGAGGUGGUGCUGGAACUGUAUCUCCUGUCAUGGUUCUCAGCUGUUGGUCAAGUGGUUGGUCUUAGGAUCCCUUGUAAAAUGUUAAAUGACCGUCGAUAGUCCUGCCUUUUUUCUUUCCAGGUUCUACUGCCAUUGAAUUCAAUAGUCUUCGGUCAAUAAUUUUAGUUCUUUUUUUCUUUUGCAAAAGCACAUAGAACCUCCUCUUUUCCCAUGGCUUUCACUUUCAAGCUUCAACCAAAGUGUUGAACAGUUUGGGCACAUCACAACGCACAAUUGUUUUUUUUUUUUACUUUUGUUUGGCUAAAAGAAUUUUACAUCUUUCAGUAGCUUGGAAAUUGAAUAAUUACAUGUGAGUCUCUCAGUUCACAUUAUCGAGGGUAAAAAAAAAAAUAUAAAGAAGCUAGCAGAAGAUUGAUUUCACUUCUAAAUCCAUAUGACGACUGGAUGCAACCAUUCAAAGUAAGAUGACGACUCCCUGUUGUAAUGAAUCUGUCCUGCACAAAAUCGUCCAUGGCUUUACUCUUGCUGAAAGGUUCAUAGUGACCGUGGGGCACGAUGUCACAUAUGGAUAGAUACCUAGCUCAUACCUUGCAUGAUAAACUAUUCAGAACUUUUCCCUUAAGUCCGACUAAACCAAACGAGAAAUUCUGUAUUACCCUCAGCACCUUUUAGAGGAGACUCAAUCCACCCUUUGCUUUGAAAACCAAAGUUCUCUACACCCUUUAUAAUCUUUUCAAGAACCUGCAUGAUGAAACACAAUAAAUCUUAAAUUAGCUUUCUCAAGUAGUAGCUUUAGCCUAUCAUAUCAGAUGUUCAACAAAGUCUGUAUCUUGAUGAUGUUAUUUUUGCAUACCUCCUGAUGCACUUGGGGAUCUCUCACAAUCCCACCACUUCCAACCUGCAAAGGGGUUCAAAAAGAUUACUCGUACAAUUUACAGUUAGCCUAACGGAACCCUCACAUACAACUAUCACAAUUUUUUUGGUGCUCCUUCAAUUCUUAACUACAUUACAUCCAUAAUGGAGAAUGAAAAACAUACAUUUUAUAGGCAUGUGGUGUAUGUAUGUUCACUCCACAUGUAUAAAUAUAUUUCUUACUUGAGAUCUACGAGCUUCAAACUGAGGUUUAACCAGGGUAACCAGAGUUGCCUCUUCCUUCAUCGCAUUUACUACAGCGGGCAUGACCUGGUUAAGAAAGUAAAUAAAUAACUAAAGAUAUUGACAAAGUUAAGCAUAAAUGUUGUUCAGCAUGGGAUUGCUUUAAACAAGACUACCUGGCUAUAGAUAAUCACCAAUAAUAAUUCUGUUUCCUCCCUCUCUUUGACAUUCAAUAACAAUCAACUAAAAUAACAAAUAGCGUGGGCAGUGUACAGCUGUUUAAGGGCAGAGCAUUGUUUAAGACUAAGACGCCUUUUGAUGAAUCUAGGAAUUCAGAGGUCUAAAGAAACAGAACAGAAUCGUACGAAGAGACUGACUGAAAAUAACAGUAAAAAGUAAUGCAAGCAUGGUAACAAAGCAGUUUGGAAAUGUUUGACAAUGCUUACCAAGAGAAUAGAAAUAAAUGAAAGGUCCAGUGUCACCAAAUCAACUUUUUGAGGGAGACCAGAAAGGUAUCUUAAAUUUGUCCGUUCAAUCACACAAACACGUUCAUCUCGACGAAUCUUGUCUGCUACCUAUUCAAAAUUGAAAUCCACAUGCAAUCAAGAACCAUUAAAAACCCAAAACUGCACAUCCAUUUGAGACAGGGAACAUAUCAUUUAGUACAUUUUUCAAUCAGUGAAUAUAGGGGAUUGCUUCUAUAUAGAUAAAGCUUCACUAUUAAAAAAUGAAGGUAGAAAAGAAACUGCUCUUAGUAAUUAAUAAUGUCUUCCAGGAGAGCUUUUCUUGGAAAGAAGAAAGAAUAUCUUUGUCCUAAAAGCCAAGCCAUCAUUUUAUUAUUUAGGAAACUAUUACUCAGUAGUGCGAAAAUUAAUUACAUGUUCAUUCCAAAAACAGUGUCUCAAAAGUAAUUAAACCAAGCAUUUUGUCCACACUUUAAAAAUCAUAUCAGCUAGCUCUUGGGUUGUGUAAGCGGGACUCACUUGAAAUACCAGAGGUAAAGAAAAACAAAAAUAUACCAGUUGUUAUUUCUAUAGAAGAUGUUCUUACUUCCAUAGAGACGUUCUCACUUUCUAAUCUUUCCCCAUUAAAUGAGCUUCCUUGUGUGAGUUAACUUAAGCUGCUCUAUAAUUUCAGAACUUACCAUGAAAGCUUCUGUCAUUUACUUUCAUUUCUGCGAAUUUUAAUUCACAACCAUCAGAAUGCCAGCCAGAGAACAUUAUACUGUCAUACACAUGACAUACACCACCCAUAGCUAUGACCAAGUUGAUUUAGCCGACCAAAGUUCUCGUAUUCCUUGAUCAGUUUUAACAUAUUUUUCAUUUAAUCAUUUGAAAAAUGACAUAAACGUACUUCAUCUGCACAUAAUGUCUAUUCCAAAUUGUCAAAAUUUUACCUGCCCAUAACCUACAUCAACUCCAUAAACAUAUGAUGCACCAUACUGAAGUAGGCAAUCAGUAAAUCCUCCAGUGGACAACCCAGAAUCAAGGGCUACUUUGCCAGCCACAUCAACACCAAGCUGUUCAAUAGCAGCUUCUAACUUAUAUCCUGCUCUGGAUCAGCAAAGGAAACAUUCAAACCAACAUUAAACAUCUCAACAAUAUAAUUGUAGAAAAAUGCAAGAUGGGUGUUCAGAGAAUAUUCACCUACAUACAUAUUUAGGGAUUUCAGCCAUAAUUUCUACAACAGCCUUGUCAGAGACGGGUGUUCCAGCUUUGUUUACCAUCUUUCCAUUCACAUAAACUUUGCCUGCACCAUAGAUGUAAUAUAGAAAAAGAUAUGUCUCCAUGAUUUCUACGGUCGGUUCUUCAUUCAUGUAAUUUACAUUUCAAGAACUGGAAUAAAAAUUGCACCAAGUGUAUUAAAGUACAAGGAUGCAUGCAAUUGAAGAAUGUUACUUACCUUGCAAAAUCCAUGACUGUAUGAAUGUUCUACUAUACUGCUGAAACCUUUCAAGACAUAUCUCAUCCAGCCUUUUUUUCCUGACAAUGUCAUAAGAGUAAAGCACAAUAAGGUAUAAAGGAAAAAGAUACGGACAGGUUUCAAGGACCGAUAAAAGACUCAGACUAAGCUAGGGUAAGUUUGCAUCUUCUUCCAUUACCGAUAAAAAUCAAUUAGCAAUUAAUGGCAUCCCCAGAAUUUCACUGUUACAAUAUAUAUUACCAUGUAACAAAACUAUCUUUCAACAAAUAUGUAGUAGUCAUCAAUUGAGUGAUAUAGGCUUACUUUUUUGGUAUUUGAAGCUUUUCUGACUUGAUAACAGCAAAGCUUCUAUAGGGACUACGCAUAUGAGCUUUGACCGAAAUUACUGGAAACCGAAUCCCAACAACCAAAGUACCCGAGCAAAGCCAAAACCAAAAUAAAACCCAAUUCAUUUAGAACCCAAAAGAAAAGGUAAAGUAAAGAAAAAAACACCGAUAACAGAUUAAAUAAAAGAACAACCGCCCCUUUUCUUUUCUCUCAUUCCAUAUACAAUCAAAGUGUUUGUGAGAAUUACUGAAGAGAAUAACAAGAGAACCCAACUCGGUAACAAGCAUGAAGACGUCAAAUUUGAGUCCAACAGCAUAUUAAACUAAAAAAAAAUGCAAUGUAUGAAUCUAUUGAGAGAGAGAGAAUGGGUACCAUGAAAAGGAGAGUAAGAUUUCGAUAAGAGAAAUAAAGUGGAGCUACCGCUACCGCAGCAGCGUGAUAUAAAGGGAAGCUUCACAAUAUGCAGUGCCAUUUUCGGCUUCGUUUGGUUAUGUUUUUACAAAGGUUGUGCAGCUGAGCUCAGUUCGGUUCAAGAGGUGUCGCCUUAGGAAGCAGAUAAAGCCGUGGCGAUCAGUGUUAACGAAUUACCAAAUCUUAAAACGGAGACGACAGACGAAAAGGCCUAGCCAGAAGUCUUAAAAGGGCCGUGAGAUCUUCUGCCCAAGACUCAAAACCCAGCUUGUAUUUGGCAAGCAGGGCUUAAUAUAUCCUCUUUAGUCUUUUUCUAAUGGAGAGAUUAAUUGGUAAUUUUUAUGCACGUGGAAAAAUUGACAGAGACAAAUUUUGAAAAUUAAAAAAAUAAAUUUAUUGAAGAAUAAAAAAUUCUUGUUCUCAUCACGUCAAUUGACAUUUUCUUUUUUAUUUUGGUUAGGUCAACUUCAUGUACAUCCCAAGACAGAGGAUAUUGAAAAUUUUUUUUAAGAAAUUAUAAGAAAGGGUCAAUCUUAUAAAGUCAUUUCAAAAAGAGAAAAAUGUGAGAAAUAAAUUUUUUAUUAAUCAUCAAAAAAAAUUUAACUGUUUUUCGUUAUAUUUAGUAAUAAUUUGACAAAAAUAUCUUUGAACUAUUUCAUAUAAAUUAAACUAUUCAUUAUAAUUUCUCUUCAUUUAUGUUUCCGAUUUCUCUCUCUCAUUAUCAAACUCUUUUUAAUUUUAUUGAUUUCUCUCUUCAACAUUCGUCUGUUAUGCUCUCAAUUUCUUUCUCCCGCGCUUUCAAGACGCUAAGCGAUGAUUUUGAUGUGCUUAGGAUGAGUGGCUAUUUGGAGGAUUUGAUUUUUAAGUAUUUUGGAUGAAAUUAAAACGGUAGAAAUAAUCACGAAUGUUUAAAAUUGGAUUAAUUCGGGAUUUAGAUAUCAAUAAACUUAAAAUUUUUAAAUUUAUAAACCUAGAGUUUCAAAGGAAAAUUUUUUUAAUUUUUAGUCGAAAUCGGUAUUUUAGAUAAGAAAAUUUGUGUUUUGAUUUAUGAAAACAUGUUAGAAACACUUAAAUAAAAAUAAAUUAAAAGAGUUGAGAGGAUUUGAAAUUUUGUUCGUAGGUAAUAAAAUAUUUUAAGUAUUAAAGUGUAACAAAAUUUUUUUAAAUAUUACGUAUAACAAUAAUAUUUUUUCAACAUGGCGUGUAACAAUAACAUUUGUUUCAACAUAAAGUAUAACAUGUUUUUGUACAUGGCGUGUAAUAAUAAUAUUUUUUAACCAUGACGUGCAAUAUGUUUUAUUCAUGACGUGUAACAACAAUAUUUUUUUUUUCAACAUGACAUGUAACAACAUUUUUUAACCAUGACAUAUAACAUGCUUUUAUACAUUGCACAUAACACUAUUUUUUUUUUGUCAAACAUGGCGUAUAACAACCUUUUUAACCAUGAUAUGUAACAUAAUUUUGAACAUGAUGUGUAAUAAUAAUAUUUUGUUUCAAUAUAGCAUGUAACAACCUUUUUAACCAUGACGUGUAACAUAUUUCUGAACAUGACGUGUAAUAACAAUAUUUUUUUUCAACAUAGCAAACAACAACCUUUUUUAACCAUAUCGUAUAAUAUAUUUUUAUACAUGAUGUGUAACAAUAAUAUUUUUUCAACAUGGCAUGUAACAUCAUGUAAUGGUGUAUAAUAUCAUUAAAAGUAAUUUUGUCCAAUUUAGUUAAAAAUAGUUAAAAUUAUAAAAAGAGUUAUUUUUGAAAACAUCUUAUAUUUAAGGGUUAUUUUUUAAAAUACUCCUUUAAAAAAUAGCCUUUAAUAUAAAGUUAAUUGUUUUUACCCAAAUUUUGUUAUGAGUUGACAAAAAUUCCAUUGAAGUUAUUUUAGGCAAAUUAAAUCAUUUAUCAUAAUUUUUCCUCCUAAUUUCUCUCUCCGACAUUUGUCUGUUAUGCUCUCAAUUUCUCUCUUGUUAUCCAACUCUCUCUAAUUUUAUCAAUUUCUCUCUCCCACCAUCUAGCCGUCUCUAAUUUUACUGCCAUUGUUAUCUCUUUCUGUCUAUUUCUUACUCUAUCAUCAUUGAUUUACAAACCAAAAAGUAGAGAUGAUAUUAAUGUAUAUUCUUGGGUUUAUUUAUUUACAUUCACAAAAUCUCAAAAUUAAUGGGUUGAAGUUAUAUAACUGAAAUCUGUAAAUUAGAACAUUGUCCAAAAUUGUUACGCACCAUACCUACAUGGCGUGUAACAAAUUUAUUGAAUAUGGUAGGAUUUAAACAUGGCAUGCAACUUGAUUUUUAUUUUUGUAUUUCAUUAGAAUAUGAACUCUUUGAGUUAAACAUCUUAAACAUAACGUGUAAUAAUUUUUUUUUUCAAUAUAAUGUGUAAUAACUUUUUCUUUUCAAUAUGAUGUGCAACUUAAUCUCUUAUUUUGUAUUUCACUAGGAUAUAAACUGUUGAAGUUAAACACAAACAUGACGUGUAAUAAUUUUUUUUUAACAUGAUGUGUAAUAAUUUUUUUUUAACAUGAUGUGUAAUAAUUUUUUUUUAACAUCACUUGUAACUUGUUCUCUAUCUUUGUAUUUUACUAGGAAUGAGUGCUACAAUUUUUUUUUCCAACAUGACAUGUAACUUAGUCUUUAUAUUUGUAUUUCACUAAGAUAUAAACUCUUAAGGUUAAAUAUCUUAAACAUGGCAUGUAAUAAUAUUUUUUUUUCAACAUAGCAUGUAACAACAUAUUUUUGAACAUGACGUAACAAUAAUAUUUUUUAAACAUGACCUAUAACUUGAUCUCUAUUUUUAUAUUUUAGUAGGACAUUUACACCUUAAACAUAACGUGUACAAUUUUUUUUUUCAACAUGAUAUUUUCUGAGUUAGUCGUUUCAUCAGAGUUCUUGCAGUAGCUGCAUACCACCAAUACAUCUUUAGGGUUACAGCUAUCAAGGCUUUGGGAUCCCGAUCAACUAAAGAAAAAGAAACAAAAAACUUAUCAAAUAUCAAAAUGGCUUUGUCUCCACUUCUUCUUUUUUUUUUUUUCAUUUUUCAUUUGUGUGUGUGAGAGAAUAUUUAUGAUGAUGUCCCUUCUUUCUUCUUUUUCAUCUUUUCUUUUUUUAUAAUUUAAAUAUUUAUUAUUAGCUUUUGCAACUCUGUGUUAUUAUUUUUGAGUAAUGAUGGUGUUGAUUUUUUCUUUUCAAAAACUAAUAUGAGGAGAUUUCAUUAAGAGUAAUUUUAUCAUAAAAUAUUACUUUUGGCUAAAACGGUUAAAAUUAAAAAAAAGUUAUUUCAAAAACACCUCAUCUUUUAAGGACUAAAAAAAAUUUAUCUCAUUUUCUUUUGUAUGAUUAUUCAUUAUUUAAAGAGUUUUAUCAUUGGCCAAAUUUUAUAUUUUAUUUAACUUUUUUAACUGCAUAUAUAUUAAUGCCUUGCGACAGAGCCAAGUUUCGACUAAGGGGACCAACACACUUUAUGCUGCUAUCUAAUUAUUUUUUAAUCUUUUUAAAAGAAAAAAAAUUUUGUUGUAAGGCUUUUGCAUUUAAUAUAUUAUUGUAUUGAAGGUUGUUAAACCUUUGAUAUGUAAAAUAUUAUAAAUAAUAAUAGUGAAAAAUAGGGAAUAAAAUUGAAGGUACAAACUUAUAUAUGUGAAUAAACCAAAACGGUAUGAGAUCAGAUAAAUAAAACUGAAAGCAAGCGCUUAAGCUUAAGAUAAAAGACAAAGCAAAAGGAGCAUACAAGGAAAGACGAGAGAAAAAAAGAAAAUAGUAAAAUAUUAAAUUCAUUCAAUAAAUUCAGUAUAGAAUUUAGAAAAACCAAAAAGUUGAAUCAAAGAAUUUAUAAGGAUCAAGGGGUUGCAUGCCACAGCACGAGGCUUCACUAGCUGUAAAUGGGUAGCUAUUAUUCGGGUAUACGAGUACUCAGCCUAUUCGAUUAUUUGAAAAAUUUUGUUAAUAGUGAGUUUCAAACUUGUACCUUCUUUAUCUUGAAAACAAUUUUAAUCAUCGCAAUCAACUUCCUUUCUUAUAAAUUAACAAAUAUAAAUAUAAAUCUGUGUCAAAUACUUAGACACGUUUAUGUCAUAUAUGUUUUGUAUAUUAAAUUAAAGACGUGGUUAAAAUAUAAUGAUAUAUACAUCUAAUUUAAUUUGUAGUUUCAUAUAUUUGAGUCAAUAUGAAUUUGAAAAACAACAAGUACAUUGCUAAUAGUAAGAAGUUAAAAGGUGAAGCACGUAGAUAAUACAGAGGUGGGAUAAUACGCAAGUAAGCUUCAAACUUCACUUUUAAAAAAUGAAAACAUAUCCACUUUAGUACAAACAUUUUGGGUUCUUGUCAACAAGCACCAGGUUGGAUUACAAGACAUGUCUGCAAUAUUUGGUGUUAUGGAUAAGAGAUAAGAUUCCACACAUUCUCCCAUCCAAUCAACAAUAUGCAAAAUUAACACCUCAUCCUUCUCAGCCACAACUUUUCCUGCAAUUGAUGCCCUUGAGCCUACUCAGAAAAUCUCUUUUUCUCUGUCUAUCUCUGCUUGUAUUACAUAUUUCUACUUCCAGUUCCCCUUUCUGACUCUUCUAACAAAAUCAGUCAAUGGCUGCCACUGCUUCUCCAAUGGCGAGUCAGCUCAAGAGCAGCUUUACAUCUUCUGUUACAAGAGGCCUGGUAGUCCCCAGGGGCAUUUCUGGAGCCCCAUUCAGAGUAUCACCCGGCAAGAGGACUCCUUGCUUCUCUGUUAAAGCUGUCCAAGCAGACAAGGUAGGCGAGUGCCUUGUAGAUUUUCUUCUCAUGAUAGCGCUAGGCAAGUGAAUAAGUUUAUUGUGUUUCCUUCUCUUUGCAGCCAACAUAUCAAGUGAUUCAACCCAUCAACGGUGACCCCUUUAUUGGAAGCCUUGAGACUCCGAUUACAUCAAGCCCCUUGAUCGCUUGGUACCUGUCCAACCUCCCAGCCUACAGGACGGCUGUGAACCCACUCCUCAGGGGUAUCGAGGUGGGUCUGGCCCACGGCUUCCUCCUGGUCGGUCCAUUCGUUAUAACUGGCCCUCUAAGGAACACACCUGUUGCAGGUCAAGCUGGGUCCCUGGCAGCUGCUGGUCUUGUUGUGAUCCUCAGCAUUUGCUUGACAAUGUAUGGCACUGCAUCAUUCAAUGAAGG
rnacentral:lncRNA from 1 species